UCAAAAAGUAAGAAUAACAACUGUUAAAAAUGCCAUCUAAUUCUUUCUAAUUUAGAGAUCACUGUCCUUGUAUGAGUGGAACCACUGAAGAGCACACAGCUGGUCACAGAGAAUUCAAGCAGCUUCUCCAGAAGGAUACCAUGACCAAUGGCACUGACUGGGACACGCAACUGCAAAACAUGUAACUCUAAGAAAAAUGUUUCAGAAAAGAUGGAUUCUUUGACAACAUCUGGGAACAAAUUAGACAUUAUGGUAACGGAGUCAAACAGUGUAUCACAACACAGUGGAUAUUCAGUAACAUAUGAGUUUGUGGUGUUCUGGUCUAACUGGUGUAUCUUGGCUUGGCCAUUCCCUGCUGAUUGUGUAAAAAAUAUUGUAAUUGUAGACCAUCCUAUCAUAUAAUGAAUGGUACUUUGGAAAAAGCAUGCAGAGUCACAAGGCUAAAGUUCUCAGGGAACUCAUCAGUGUACCAGGGUGGGAAAGUCUUUCAAGCUGGCAACCAGAAAGGGAGCUUACAAUUCAUCAGAGAAAAUCUGCAGUACACAUUUAGGAAAGGCAUUCCCUAGCCCUGAAUGGCAACAGCAAGCGUUUCUUUCCUUCCCAGUAAUUCCACUGUGAGAUGUGGCUGCACCAUUUUAGUCUCUAUGUGCAAAGCUGCUUCCCUCAUAUGGCCUUUUUUAUUCCCCCAUCCCAGAACUACCCAUGUUCUUGGAACCUUGUAGAAGCAGCUUAAAAACCUCUGAGAACCCAGCCCUCUCACAUGUAGAAGGUAUUUCUUCCAAAUACUUCCUAGUCAAGUUCCUGUGCAGCUUCCUUCCAACUGUAAAGAUCUACUUUGUAAAGUGGCUUCGUAGAAAAAGUUUACUUUUACUCUGAGGUGAAUUAGAAAACAAACAAAAAUGGAUUCAUAAAGGGGAACAGCUGCAGUGGAUGAAGCCAGAAACAGCAACAGCUCUUGAAGUGGAUUAUGCCCAGAGCCAAAAUUUUGAAAAUAUAUGCUUAUUGUACUGGGGCUUGCAAAAGAAGUGGUGGGAAAAGUUUACAUUUUAAAGGAAGACUUGGGUUUAUAGGGAGAACUAGUGUGGUAUACUGGUUAAGAGUGCAGAACUCAGACUUAGGCAGAUCUAGGUUCUAGUCCCUGCUCAGUCAUGGAGCCAACAGUCACAGACUCUCAGGCCAACCUAUCUCACAGGGCUGUUGUUGUGGGGAGAAGACUGAAAGCAACAGGAAGAGAAUGAUGUUAGCUGCUUUGAGUUCUUAAAGGCAGGAUAGAAAUCAAAUAAAUGUCUUCUGUAAUGUUAAUACUUCUUAAAUUUCUUCUCUAAUGUUAAUACUUCUGUGGCAGUCUGAACCUAGUUGAUGGAAAGGCACUGUAUGUGCUCAUAUGCAUGUUUAAUGUAUUUAUUGCUGGCUACUAGAAAUAAUGUUUUGCUACCAAGCUCUGAUCCAAUUUGUAGAUUCCUGGGCAUGUGCAUCUACAAUGGAAUUUCAGCCAAAUUUCUACCUGGUGUAGGAAACAUUGACACAAAUAUACAACAAACUGCUUAGAGCAUGUUGAUAGCUACAUGUACAGUUUCUUUCAGAUGUUUAUGGUUGUUUUUACAAGCCUCAUGUGCAAUAAUCCAAAUAUACUGGGCUCAAAUCAAAUAAUUUCAAGUGGAGGGAAAAUAGCCGCCAGAAAUAUAUUGUUUAAAUACUAGAAUAGAAAGGUUCUGCAGCUGUUUCUCUGCUUCUGUUUGCACAGUGGAAGAACAUAGCUGGACUUAGUUACUUUUUCACAUAUAGAACAAUUGUUCACAGUCACCAUCAGACUGUAAAAGCACAGAUUUGAACCCAAACAGAUACAAGUUAUUAACGCAAACACUUGUAUGGCAGAGAUGUACUAUUGCUACCCUAGGGCAUUUUCUCUUCUGCACUGACUUAUGAAGUAUUACUUUUGAA